rnacentral:rRNA from 1 species
GACGUAGGGCGCGAGCGUUGUCCGGAUUUAUUGGGCGUAAAGAGCUCGUAGGCGGUUUGUCGCGUCGUCCGUGAAAACUCACAGCUUAACUGUGAGCUUGCGGUCGAUACGGGCAGGCUAGAGUUCGGUAGGGGAGACUGGAAUUCCUGGUGUAGCGGUGAAAUGCGCAGAUAUCAGGAGGAACACCGGUGGCGAAGGCGGCCUGCUGGGCAGUUACUGACACUGAGGCGCGACAGCGUGGGGAGCAAACAGG